rnacentral:rRNA from 1 species
GAUGAACGCUGGCGGCGUGCCUAAUACAUGCAAGUCGAGCGAACAGACGAGGAGCUUGCUCCUCUGACGUUAGCGGCGGACGGGUGAGUAACACGUGGAUAACCUACCUAUAAGACUGGGAUAACUUCGGGAAACCGGAGCUAAUACCGGAUAACAUGUUGAACCGCAUGGUUCAACAGUGAAAGACGGUCUUGCUGUCACUUAUAGAUGGAUCCGCGCCGCAUUAGCUAGUUGGUAAGAUAACGGCUUACCAAGGCAACGAUGCGUAGCCGACCUGAGAGGGUGAUCGGCCACACUGGAACUGAGACACGGUCCAGACUCCUACGGGAGGCAGCAGUAGGGAAUCUUCCGCAAUGGGCGAAAGCCUGACGGAGCAACGCCGCGUGAGUGAUGAAGGUCUUCGGAUCGUAAAACUCUGUUAUUAGGGAAGAACAAAUGUGUAAGUAACUAUGCACGUCUUGACGGUACCUAAUCAGAAAGCCACGGCUAACUACGUG